CGGGUGCAAGAGUGAGUGUCAAAGUGAGUGUACGUGUGCGUGCGCAAGCGUGUGGAGCAGGUGGUGUGAGUGUGAGCGAGUGUGAGAACUGUAUCAGUGUGUGACAGUGUGGGUAUGGGCAUUGGAGUGUGAUGUCCUUCAGUUAGGCGGGCCCCAGAACAGGGUCUGCAUGUCUGUGGUCAGCUCGUGUCGUGAGGGGGUUGGGUUAAGUGCCGCAGUGAGCGCAACCCUCGCCCUUAGUUGCCAGCAUUUAGUUGGGCACUCUAAGGGGACUGCCGGUGAUAAGCCGAUAGGAAGGUGGGGAUGACGUCAAGUCCUCAUGGCCCUUACGGGCUGGGCUACACACGUGCUACAAUGGUGGUGACAGUGGGCAGCGAGACAGCGAUGUCGAGCUAAUCUCCAAAAGCCAUCUCAGUUCGGAUUGCACUCUGCAACUCGAGUGCAUGAAGUUGGAAUCGCUAGUAAUCGCAGAUCAGCAUGCUGCGGUGAAUACGUUCCCGGGCCUUGUACACACCGCCCGUCACACCAUGGGAGUUGGUUUUACCCGAAGGUAGUGCGCUAACCGCAAGGAGGCAGCUAACCACGGUAGGUAUCAAUC
rnacentral:rRNA from 1 species